rnacentral:tRNA from 1 species
UAGCUCAGUUGGUAGAGCAUGGCACUUGUAACACCAGGGUAGUGGGUUCGAUUCCCGC